rnacentral:rRNA from 1 species
GACGAACCGAGCGAACGUUGUUCGGAAUCACUGGGCUUAAAGGGCGCGUAGGCGGCUCUUCAAGUCGGGGGUGAAAUCCCACAGCUUAACUGUGGAAGUGCCUUCGAUACUGAGGAGCUCGAGCGAGGUAGGGGCCGAGGGAACUUCUGGUGGAGCGGUGAAAUGCGUUGAUAUCAGAAGGAACGCCGGUGGCGAAAGCGCUCGGCUGGACCUCUUCUGACGCUGAGGCGCGAAAGCUAGGGGAGCAAACGGG